rnacentral:rRNA from 1 species
UACGUAGGUGGCAAGCGUUGUCCGGAUUUACUGGGCGUAAAGAGCGCGCAGGCGGCCAAGUAAGUCGAACGUGAAAUCCCCCGGCUCAACUGGGGAAAGACAUUCGAUACUGCCUGGCUUGAAGAUAGGAGAGGGAAGCGGAAUUUCAGGUGUAGUGGUGAAAUGCGUAGAUAUCUGAAGGAACACCAGUGGCGAAGGCGGCUUUCUGGCCUAUUCUUGACGCUGAGGCGCGAAAGCUAGGGGAGCGAACGGG